rnacentral:rRNA from 1 species
UCUGCUCAGGAUGAACGCUGGCGGCGUGCUUAACACAUGCAAGUCGACGGUGAAGCCCAGCUUGCUGGGUGGAUCAGUGGCGACGGGUGAAGUAACACGGGAGCAAUCUGCCCUGACUCUGGGAUAAGCGCUGGAACGGGCGUCUAAUACUGAAUAUGAGCUGCGAUCGCAUGGUCAGUAGCUGGAAAGAUUUUUUGGUCAGGGAUGAGCUCGCGGCCUAUCAGCUUGUUGGUGAGGUAAUGGCUCACCAAGGCGUCGACGGGUAGCCGGCCUGAGAGGGUGACCGGCCACACUGGGACUGAGACACGGCCCAGACUCCUACGGGAGGCAGCAGUGGGGAAUAUUGCACAAUGGGCGCAAGCCUGAUGCAGCAACGCCGCGUGAGGGAUGACGGCCUUCGGGUUGUAAACCUCUUUUAGCAGGGAAGAAGCGAAAGUGACGGUACCUGCAGAAAAAGCGCCGGCUAACUACGUGCCAGCAGCCGCGGUAAUACGUAGGGCGCAAGCGUUAUCCGGAAUUAUUGGGCGUAAAGAGCUCGUAGGCGGUUUGUCGCGUCUGCUGUGAAAUCCCGAGGCUCAACCUCGGGUCUGCAGUGGGUACGGGCAGACUAGAGUGCGGUAGGGGAGAUUGGAAUUCCUGGUGUAGCGGUGGAAUGCGCAGAUAUCAGGAGGAACACCGAUGGCGAAGGCAGAUCUCUGGGCCGUAACUGACGCUGAGGAGCGAAAGGGUGGGGAGCAAACAGGCUUAGAUACCCUGGUAGUCCACCCCGUAAACGUUGGGAACUAGUUGUGGGGUCCAUUCCACGGAUUCCGUGACGCAGCUAACGCAUUUAAAGUUCCC